CCUUAGUGCGCUUGGGGCUGCAAUCCUGGUGACGCGGUUCGAAGAAUCCUUCGCCACAUCCUCACCAACCACUUUGCGCUGAAAUUCAACUGGCUUGGCAGAGGAGGGAAGAAGCUGGCUUUUGCCUCCUACAAGGUGUGCAAUGCAGUAAGAGGUGCAUCGGCUAGCCAGAACAUUUCGGCCAGCGACUGCGAGGCAGUUAUUAAAAGCUGGCUGAAGUGCAGCGGUGACCGGAGUGGAGGAAGAAAGAGGAGAGAAAGCAGAGUGCAUGAAGGUCCCCAGCAGUUCAGUCUUCCUCCUCCGAGUCCUUCCCCGGUCAUCCUGGAUCAUGAUACAACUAGCAGCGACAGUGACGACGACUGCACACCGACUCGGAUUUUAAUUCAUUUUUAAUUAAUUUAUCU